UAAAGAAUAAGAACAAUUUUA
rnacentral:piRNA from 1 species